UACGGGGGGAGCAAGCGUUGUUCGGAUUUACUGGGCGUAAAGGGCGCGUAGGCGGCCACCGCAAGUCGAUUGUGAAAUCUCCGGGCUUAACCCGGAAAGGUCAACCGAUACUGCGGGGCUAGAGUGCAGAAGGGGCAACUGGAAUUCUCGGUGUAGCGGUGAAAUGCGCAGAUAUCAGGAGGAACACCGGUGGCGAAGGCGGGUCUCUGGGCCGUAACUGACGCUGAGGAGCGAAAGCAUGGGGAGCGAACAGG
rnacentral:rRNA from 1 species